rnacentral:rRNA from 1 species
GAUUAACGCUGGCGGCAUGCCUAAUACAUGCAAGUCGAACGGUCUAGCUUGCUAGACAGUGGCGAACGGGUGAGUAACACGUAGGUAAUCCACCCUUAGGACGAGGAUAGCUUCUGGAAACGGAAGGUAAAACUGGAUAGUAUAUAGGAAGGCAUCUUCUUAUAUUUAAAAGAGCAAUCUACCUAAGGAAGAGCCUGCGGCGCAUUAGCCAGUUGGCGGGGUAAUGGCCCACCAAAGCGAUGAUGCGUAGCCGGACUGAGAGGUUGAACGGCCACAUUGGGACUGAGACACGGCCCAGACUCC